GUGGCAGUAACAGCUGUCAAAACUGUAAGGAUAACUAUGCUGAAAAUGAACCCAGCUAAACUUGUCAAGUGCACAGUAUUCGACUGUGCUUUAUUGAUUUGUCCAGCUAAACUUUAAUUCUUGAAUAGUAUCAGGAUCAUGCUAAUGUUAAAAUGCAAAAACCUCAAGAGUUAAGACCAGAAGAUCCAGAGGAACUACAGGAAGGACAACGAGAACUUCAAGAACAGCGUGACAACAUUGACAUGGCUUCUGCUGUAAGGUUGGUUAUCUUUCUCAGGGUAGGUGAACAUCUCCUUGUUUUUGGAUGUGAUCGUCUUGAUUUAAACUCAAAAAAGAGGUUUGAGGGGUGUUUUCCAAAACUUGAUCUCAAAUCCAGAAACAAGGUUCAAAAGGUGCUUUCCACGACUUGAUCUCAAACCCAGAAAUAGGUUCUUAAGGUGGUUUCAAAGACUUGAUUUCAAACCAAAAGACAAGGUUCCAAAAGGUGCUUCCAAAGACUCGAUCUUAAAACCAAAAAACAAGGUUUAAAAGGUGCUUUUAAAAAAAUGUGUCUUGAACAAGCAAAGACGGUAUGUUAAAUGUCUGCUCUCAAAAAAGGUAUGACAAAGCACCCGUUUAAUAUCACAAAAGCACCUCAUUUGACAAAAGCACCAGCAAUCCUAAAAAAAAUCUGCCUCCACUCUUUCAACAAUGACAUAAACCCAAAAAUCAAAGCUUUUUCUCAGCAGCACCAUCACCAAAAACAAGAAGACCAUUCACAGGAACCAAAGGAGCAGAAGAAGACCUGAUGUGGACCUUGUGUGUCAACGCCAAACCUCUGAACAGGACUGGGUCUGUUUUUUCUUUAUACAUUUGACUUAAAUAUGAUCACACUCCAAAAAAAAACCCUAAUGAUAAAAUGUUUGUUUUACUCUGAAGUGACAUGAAAAUGAAAAAGCAGUAAUGUUAACUUUGAUGCGGUGGCAGUAACAGCUGUCAAAACUGUAAGGAUAACUAUGCUGAAAAUGAACCCAGCUAAACUUGUCAAGUGCACAGUAUUCGACUGUGCUUUAUUGAUUUGUCCAGGUAAACUUCUAUUCUUUCAUAGUAUUAGGAUCAUGCUAUUGUUAAAACUGCAAAAACCUCAAGAAUUAACACCAGAAGAUCUAGAGGAACUACAAGAAGGACAACGAGAACUUCAAGAACAGCAUGACAACAUUGACAUGGCUUCUGCUAUAAGGUUGGUUAUCUUUCUGAGGGUAGGUGAACAUCUCCUUGUUUUUGG